CAUAAAUACUGACAGUUGCUAAACAGGGUAGAAUAAAAGGAGUUCAAGAGUAGUAUUGCAUAGACGUGCAAUUAAAUUCAGACGAAUUUCGGGCAAUUUGGAUGCUUCCGAAGUGCCAAAUUUCAGAAGUGAUUUAGAUUUCUGAAAAGUGGCAAAAUAAGAGGUAGGGUUAGGGUAAAGGAAGGGAGCCCUACAGAUGUUCCAAAAUUCAGGACUGGUGAAUUUCCAAACUGAACAAAAUGUUUUGAUCAUGCACAUCCCUAGUAAAGCAGUGUUAGGAUUUAAGUGCAAGAGACAAAAGCAGAAGCUUGUGGUUUACACCAAC